rnacentral:rRNA from 1 species
CCUACGGGAGGCAGCAGUGGGGAAUAUUGCACAAUGGGGGAAACCCUGAUGCAGCGACGCCGCGUGAGCGAAGAAGUAUUUCGGUAGGUAAAGCUCUAUCAGCAGGGAAGAAAAUGACGGUACCUGACUAAGAAGCCCCGGCUAAAUACGAGCCAGCAGCCGCGGUAAUACGUAUGGGGCAAGCGUUAUCCGGAUUUACUGGGGGUAAAGGGAGCGCAGGCGGCUUGGCACGUCUGAUGUGAAAGGCUGGGGCUCAACCCCAGGCCUGCAUUG